rnacentral:ncRNA from 1 species
GAUUCGACAGUGAAGAAGAUAAGUAGAAAGUAAUUUUCUUGUCUAGAGAGAGGGCGUUUGGUGAAAGCCUUUCAGAAAUUUAUUUUUGAAGCUACUUUGGAGUUGAAACGUAGUCGGCGUUAACGAGUGAAUUGAGGGCAUUUUCUAUUUUGGAAAAUGAACUAGGAUGGUACCGCGUAAUUAUACGUUCCUAGA